rnacentral:rRNA from 1 species
GGAUUAGAUACCCUGGUAGUCCACGCCGUAAACGAUGAGAACUAGAUGUCGGGAGGAUUUGCCUUUCGGUGUCGCAGCUAACGCGUUAAGUUCUCCGCCUGGGGAGUACGCCGGCAACGGUAAAACUCAAAGGAAUUGACGGGGACCCGCACAAGCGGUGGAGCAUGUGGUUUAAUUCGAUGCAACGCGAAGAACCUUACCUGCCCUUGACAUUGACAGAACCUUCCAGAGAUGGAGGGGUGCUUCGGCCUGGAAAACAGGUGCUGCAUGGCUGUCGUCAGCUCGUGUUG